CAUUGCUAUUAUGAUGGCGGAUUGCACCGUCAUAGUUUUAUUUGUAACCUUUUGCUUGUGUGUGCGCUGAUGCACUUCCUUGUGUGUGUGUG